rnacentral:rRNA from 1 species
CCUACGGGGGGCUGCAGUCGAGAAUCUUGGGCAAUGCACGAAAGUGUGACCCAGCGACGCCGCGUGAAGGAUGAAGGCCCUUGGGUCGUAAACUUCUUUUAAGGGGGAAACGGUACCCCUUGAAUAAGCCACGGCUAACUACGUGCCAGCAGCCGCGGUAAUACGUAGGUGGCAAGCGUUGUCCGGAUUUACUGGGCGUAAAGCGUAUGCAGGCGGACCGUUAAGUAGGAAGUGAAAGGUUGGAGCUCAACUCUAACACUGCUCCCUAUACUGGCGGUCUUGAGUGGCGGAGAGGAAGACGGAACGACACGUGUAGCGGUGAAAUGCGUUGAUAUGUGUCGGAACACCAAUGGCGAAAGCAGUCUUCUGGACCAACUGACGCUGAGAUACGAAAGCCAAGGUAGCAAACAGGAUUAGAUACCCUUGUAGUC